rnacentral:tRNA from 1 species
GCUUUUAAAGGAUGGCAGUUAUCCGUUGGUCUUAGGAACCAAAAAAUUGGUGCAACUCCAAAUAAAAGCA